GAGGAAUAUUGGUCAAUGGUCGGCAGACUGAACCAGCCAAGUCGCGUGAGGGAAGACGGCCCUACGGGUUGUAAACCUCUUUGUCGGAGAGUAAAGUACGCUACGUGUAGUGUAUUGCAAGUAUCCGAAGAAAAAGCAUCGGCUAACUCC
rnacentral:rRNA from 1 species